UCCUGAUCAUUACUCAUGAAUCAAGGUGUUUUGACACACGCACCCUUCCUGCAGCUCGUCGCCCGCGGAGUGGCCAGGUUACGGCGGGCGCCGGAAGGGGGCGCAUCCCUCGCCUUUCCCCAUUGUGGCGGGCAGCCCCGUCUACCCGCUCGGUUUCCGGGAGUCGGCGAUGGCGUCAUCACCGAGCGCCGGGCCGACGGCAUCGCGGAGGUCGCCUAUGUGACCAGGAAACAUGCUGAGCCGGCUUCAGGAACUGCGCAAGGAGGAGGAGACGCUGCUGCGGUUGAAGGCAGCCCUGCACGACCAGCUGAACCGCCUCAAGGUGACCCCGCGGCCCUCUCCCGCUCCUCCUCCAUUCCUCCCGAGCGACCCCCCAACCUGGGCCUCUGCGGUGCAGACCCCCCAACCUCGGCCUCUGCGGUGACCACCUGCUGCGGUUGAAGAAUUGGCCCUCCAAUCAAUGAUCAGUUCUAGAAGAGGGGAUGAGAUGCUGUCUUCUCACACUGUACCUGAACAGUCACAUGAUAUGUUGGUGCAUGUAGACAAUGAAGCAUCAAUCAACCAAACGACCCUGGAGUUGAGCACAAAGAGUCAUGUGACGGAAGAGGAGGAAGAAGAGGAAGAAGAAGAAUCAGAUUCCUAAAGAAGGGGGAAAGCCAGGCUGGUCAGUUAUACAAAUUGCAUUUCUAAGUCUCAGGCACUUCUCCUCAAGGAACUCAUCUUGCCCUGGGCCCUGUGAUCUGCUUGAAAGGAAAGCAAGAACUAUAAGGAGGAUGUGUAGUUGCAAAAAUGGCUCCAUCAGUAACUCAAGCUUCAGAAUGUUAUGACAUACAGAAAAUCAAAGAUGCUAUGUCUUAGCAUUGAGCAAUAUGGGUGGUGCUGUCUGUAAUCUGGUCAGAUUCGGUUAACUGUUCAAAACAAUUUCCUCUGAAAUACUGUUGGGAAAGUCUGGCAUUUGCAAAAAGAGCAGAGUUUAAAUACAAGCCAGUCUUUCCAGUCAACAAUGCCUCUUUGAAGAAAACCAAUUAAAGGCUGUUUGCAUGCCGCUGAAUCCUUGUGAGCAGUUAGCUCACAGUCUAGGACAGAAAGAUGACAAGGGGAAGGACUGAGGGCCAUCUGAGAGCACAAGCUUGCUACCUCUCAGAGGCAUUGAAAUACUGCAUGCUAUAAACUGCUUUGUGUAGCUGUUAUCACCUCUCACUUGAGACAUCACUCACUGGUAAAAUGUUUUUAUAAAUAAAUUAUAAAUAGCCAUCAUGGAGCCUGCUGGUUUCUAGAUCGUGACAGAGAGAAGCAGCAGUUCCUUCUCUGAGGAAAAGAUACAACAGGAUGGUUUGAAAUCCAUUUCUAGCCCUUAAGAGAGAUGUGCCAUGCUUGGAAGACUGGAUUUUUUUUUGUUAUUUGUUUGAGACAGUUUCACUCGUUGCCCAGGCUGGAGUGCAAUGGUGUGAUCUCAGCUCACCGCAACCUCCCCCUUCUGGGUUCAAGUGAUUCUCCUGCCUCAGCCUCCCGAGUAGCUGGGAUUACAGGCACGCAUCACCAUGCCCGGCUAAUUUUGUAUUUUUAGUAGAGACAGGGUUUCUCCAUGUGGUCAGGCUGCUCUCGAACUCCCAACGUCAGGUUUUCUGUCCGCCUUGACCUCCAAAAGUGCUGGGAUUACAGGCGUGAGCCACUACGCCAGGCCGGAAGACUGGAUUUUUGUAACAGAGUAAGAGUUGUUACUUCGUAUUUGAAGUUGAGGUUCAUUUCUGCAUACUGUCCCUUUUCCACUAACUACUAUACUGUGAAAUAAGUAGUUCUUUAAUUUUAUAAAAUUAAUUUCCCCUGCUCAAGCAACAGUAAAAGCCAAACAAAACACAAAGAAUCAUGUCAAGCAGAACUUAUGCAGCAGUUCCCAAAUUAAGCAAAGAAUACCUUUUUUUGUUAAUCCACAUUUCAUUGAAGUUAUUUUGAGCUGCUCUUACAGGAAACAGCCAGAAGUUUAAAUGAGCAUGUUCCUUAGAACACACAAUGAAGAUAGUUUGGGAACAAAAAGCAUCAAGGUACAUAAAUUUUGGGGGUCUAAUUUAAAAUACGAACAUGGGUUUGCAAAGUUGGAAAGACUAUGAAUUCCAGCUCUACCACUAACUGGUCCCUUGUCCUCCCACCUCUUUGCAACUCACUUUCCCAUCUGUAAGGUGAAGAUGAUACUCACAUGUGUUCUAGCAGUUUCACAGGUUGCUAUGAGGUGCUAACGAGAUCAUCUGAAACUCCUACUAUCAUUGGUAUCUCAGUAAGAAUCUGGCAUUGGGAGCUCAAAACACUGCAAGAUUCAUGCGGGGAUCAUAAUUCUUGGUUAAAAAUUUAAAAACAAAAAAAUCUAAGCACCCCUCAAAAGACACCGAGCAUGAAAGUGGUCAGAUCUGGGUUUUGGAUACCAGUUCAUAACAUUUCUCCUAAGGAUGUAGUCUUCUCAUUUUAAUGAAACAUUCUCAGUA